AGUACAGAGAUAUUCAAAAAUAAAAUCCCAAUUCCCAGGAAGAAGUUUUCAAACUAGAAAGAAAAUUUGAGUAAAGUAUAAAGUAAAUUACCAUCAAAACCAUCAUCAUCAGGCACGGGAAAAUCGAGCCACGUUUCUUGAUGCAUCGCGAU